rnacentral:rRNA from 1 species
AAUGAACGCUGGCGGCAGGCCUAACACAUGCAAGUCGAGCGGUAGCACAGAGAGCUUGCUCUCGGGUGACGAGCGGCGGACGGGUGAGUAAUGUCUGGGAAACUGCCUGAUGGAGGGGGAUAACUACUGGAAACGGUAGCUAAUACCGCAUAACGUCGCAAGACCAAAGAGGGGGACCUUCGGGCCUCUUGCCAUCAGAUGUGCCCAGAUGGGAUUAGCUAGUAGGUGGGGUAACGGCUCACCUAGGCGACGAUCCCUAGCUGGUCUGAGAGGAUGACCAGCCACACUGGAACUGAGACACGGUCCAGACUCCUACGGAAGGCAGCAGUGGGGAAUAUUGCACAAUGGGCGCAAGCCUGAUGCAGCCAUGCCGCGUGUAUGAAGAAGGCCUUCGGGUUGUAAAGUACUUUCAGCGGGGAGGAAGGUGUUGAGGUUAAUAACCUCAGCAAUUGACGUUACCCGCAGAAGAAGCACCGGCUAACUCCGUGCCAGCCGCCGCAGUAA